rnacentral:tRNA from 3 species
GCGCCCGUAGCUCAGCAGGAUAGAGCAGCAGUUUCCUAAACUGUUGGUCGGGGGUUCGAGUCCCUCCGGGCGCGCCA